CUACGGGCCGCUGCAGUGAGGAAUUUUGCGCAAUGGGCGAAAGCCUGACGCAGCAACGCCGCGUGAGUGACGAAGGCCUUCGGGUCGUAAAGCUCUGUCAAGCGGGAAGAACCCGCGGACGUCCAACAAGCGUCCGCGCUGACGGUACCGCUGAAGGAAGCACCGGCUAACUCCGUGCCAGCAGCCGCGGUAAUACGGAGGGUGCGAGCGUUAUGCGGAAUUAUUGGGCGUAAAGGGCGCGCAGGCGGCCCUGAAAGUCAGAUGUGAAAGCCCGGGGCUCAACCCGGGAAGUGCAUUGGGACUGCAGGGCUUGAGUAUGGGAGAGGGAAGUGGAAUUCCUGGUGUAGAGGUGAAAUUCGUAGAUAUCAGGAGGAACACCGGUGGCGAAGGCGACUUCCUGGACCAAUACUGACGCUGAGGCGCGAAGGCGUGGGGAGCAAACAGGAUUAGAUACCCCGGUAGUC
rnacentral:rRNA from 1 species